UACGGAGGGGGCGAGCGUUAUUCGGAAUUAUUGGGCGUAAAGGGCGCGUAGGCGGCUGUACAAGUCAGAGGUGAAAUCCCUCGGCUCAACUGAGGAACUGCCUUUGAAACUGUACGGCUUGAGGCCGGGAGGGGGUAGCGGAAUUCCCAGUGUAGCGGUGAAAUGCGUAGAUAUUGGGAGGAACACCAGUGGCGAAGGCGGCUACCUGGACCGGUUCUGACGCUGAGGCGCGAAAGCGUGGGUAGCAAACAGG
rnacentral:rRNA from 1 species